rnacentral:miRNA from 1 species
CAGACCCCCUCUCCCCCUCUUU